rnacentral:lncRNA from 1 species
AAAGAGGUGACCUGGCGUGGAGGAGGUGGUGCUGCGGUGGCGUGGCUUCCCGGGCGGCGCUGCGGCUCCUUCUCUCUUCGGUGUUCGGUUCUCUCUCUCUCUUCGGCCUCCUCUCUCUCUCUCCUCCCUUCGGUUUUUUUUUUUUCUUCCGUCUUUCUUCCCUAUUUAUAGGGGCAGAACCGUGGGGGACCAUCGUUAGUGCGGUGCAACGGCUGGUCGGCCAAUGCUAAAGGUGGUGGGGGCGAGGAGAGAGAGAGGCGCGGGAAGAUUUUCGAAUUUUUUCGUUUUCUGUUCUGUUAAAACGGGGGGAAGGAGGAAGAUGAACAGUGUCGUUCAAAACGACACCGUUCUGUUUUUUUUUUUUUUUUUUUUUUUUUUUUUUUUUUUUUUUUUUUUUUUUUGUAAUGAAACGGCGUCGUUUUGGGUAAAACGCGCCGUUUCAUUUAAAUGGCUAAACUUCAAAUCAGUCCCCAAAAUUCGG